CCUCACAGUUUUUCGAGGUGGGUAGGGGGUUGCUAUGACUUUUGCAUUUAACUGUGAAGCUACCAAAGGCCACCUCAGCUCUGCUGCACAGUUGCUCUCCCAAAACAGCCUCUGGGUAAUAGCGUUUGUCUUAGUCUGGCUUUCUCGAACUUUUCUUCAGGAGCUUUCUGGGAGGCUCAGCACAAAGGCACAGCGAAGAACCAUCGAGGCACAGCCAGUAUCCCACCACGAGACCGGGGAUGCUGACGGGAGGACGGAGCCGACAUGGUCGCCUGCCCCCGGCAUCCUCCGCCCCGCGGAUAAGUGACUAUACACCUUAGAAGUUUCACUUCAUCGGGAGCAAUCUAAAGAACUGUCGAUUGCAGAUGAUACAGAACAGAUGGAGGAACAAAGUUGGAGCUUUUUCCUUUACAGGGAAUAGAUGGGGACAUAGGCAGACCGACAGAGAGAUUGAUUUGAAAAGAUACUGACCUCUCUCCUUCAGCUGCAAUUUAACUUGUCCUGGAGGGAAAAAAAAAAAAAAAAAAAAAAAAAAAAAAAAAAAAAAAGAGAGAGACAAAAAAAAACCCCCACACAAGUGAGACCUGCCUCCUCCCCUGUCGGCCUCCUGCCUUCCCCCGCCCCAAGUUCGCACUGUCAUCUGAACAAACUGCUGCGCCGAUCUCAGAAGGUGAAUAAUUCUCAAUUAACUAAGUAACUAACUUUCUUUGUGCAAUCUUGAGUCACUCACUUAACUAAAUCUUAAGCCUUCGAGACCCUUCAUUAUUGCCUUCCCCCGCCACACUAUUUUCAAAGUUCAAUAGCAAGGCAACAAAAAACACUGCUGCAAAAUAAGAGUCUCUUUUAAAAUUAAAGAGCUGCUCAUUUGCAUCGGAAGAAGUUAUUUUUUCCCCCUGCUUUGAAUUAUUUAGGCACCAAAAAAAAAAAAAAAUAAAAUAAAGGACACCCUGCAAAGCCUCCCGCAGUCCGUGUCAGGAUCAGUGUCACGGAUGCUCUGCGGGGUGCGAAGCCACUGUGACCAAGUGGGCAGGCGCUGGAUCAGGUGUGUUGUUGGGCUGUGCGACUCGGGGCAUCCCGC
rnacentral:lncRNA from 1 species